rnacentral:sRNA from 1 species
UGGAAAGAUAGCCAACCUAAUGUAAAG